CAGGUGUCCAACUGGUUUGGAAACAAGCGAAUCCGCUAUAAGAAGAACAUUGGUAAGUUCCAGGAGGAAGCUAACAUUUACGCUGUUAAGACGGCCGUCAGUGCAACUGCUGCGUCCCAGAACAGCCAGGCAAACUCGCCCACCACUCCCACCUCUGCAGGCUCCUCUGGAUCGUUCAAUCUCUCCGGCUCUGGCGACAUGUUCAUGGGAAUGCAAGGGUUAAAUGGGGAUUCAUAUCCCGGCGCUCAGGUGGAGUCCCUGCGUCACUCCCUGAACCAGACUGGGAGCUACGGGGAAGGCCUCGGUGUCAGCCAGAUCUACAGCCCCCGGGAUGUCAGGGCUAAUGGAGGGUGGCAGGAUGCAGCCACCCCGUCUUCAGUGACAUCGCCGACGGAAGGUCCCGGAAGCGUGCACUCGGAUACCUCCAACUGAUCUCCCCCCAACCACCCCACCCCCCCCCCACCCCCUCCGCCUCCAACUUCCCAGGCAAUUGGAACCAUCAACCCUCCCUGCCCCCUACCCAAUGGGCUCUUCUACAGACCUGACCCACCAGAAGAGAAGAAAUCCAUAAGGAGACACCAGGAAAGGGGGAGAUCUUUUUUUUAAAAUAUAAACCACACACAAAACAGGAGGUGGCGGCGGUGGGGUGUGGGUGAUGUUGAUACUAACCAAUUACCUUAUGGUUUGCUGUAAAACCUUUACCUUCAGUGCGACAGUUCAAGGGAAGGCCGCUACAAAGGGAAAGGGCAGGUGAGAGGCGAGGGCAAGGCUUCGGCCUGCACCGUUGCCAUGGGAAUGGGUCCUGUAGACUAUCCGCAAACCCCCCACCCCCAGCGAGACCCAAUCUGGCUUGAAUCGGGUCAGUACCAAACACCCACUCGGUCAGCUCAUUUGCUGUUUGUCCUUGUCGGGAGGUUAUCCUCCACGUGAGGGGGGGGGGGGGCGCCGGCAGCUGAGGCGAUGGUCAGAGGAGGCAAGGCGGGAUUCGGGUUGCCAGGCGAUUCCGGGGAGACCAAGCGGGACUCCCCGUUUCCGGUUCCAGCCCUGUGAAACCUCCUCGCUUUCCGCGCUGCGUUGAGACGCUGUUUGGCCGUGAGGUGGUCAGUGGCCACACGGUGGGACGAGGCAGUGGGUGGGGGGAGCUGGGGGUGGUGCGUGCGCUGCCGGCCCAGAGAGAUUCGGGCAAAAGCUGAUCGGAGCAGUGGCUCAGCCCGUCCACCUGUAGGUUUGAAGAGAUAAUGGACGUAGUUGACGUGAAGUGCUGCAUCCUGGUUACUCUAUGAGUUGGAUAGGGAACGGGGACGUCUCUCACACUAUCCCUUCUCUCGACAUCACUUGAAUCUUUCUCCUGCUGUCCAUUUCCUUCCUCUCUGCUUCCUCUACUGUGUUUCCGUGGAAUCUUACGGCUCAGAGCAGCCCACUGAGUUUGCAGGGACCCUCGAUCAGCACUAGUCCCACUUUCCAUCACUUGGCCCACAGUGAUGUAUGUGCCACUGCAAGUGCUUUUUGAAGGCUGUGAGAGGUUGUUUUGUUAAUGUCUCCUUUCUGCUCUCUAUUCUUUAUCUCUCGUUUAGAAUCUCUACUUUCUUCCCUCUGCUUCUCCCUAUUCCCUCUCACUGUACUCCCACAUUUACCCCUUUCAGUCUGUUGCUUUUUGAGUUCCAGUGUCCCCCAUUACGAACCGGGUAAUGUUGUAGCCUUGUAUGAGUUUUGCCAAGGUCAGACUGUUCUACCUAGGCCAGACGAGAGAAUGAGAGAGAGAGUCUCUUUACAAAGAGCCCCCAACGGCAGUGGCUCCUUAUGCUUUAGGUGCGGGAGAUUUGGUGUAGUUUUUAAAUAAUGUUGACGUGGUUUUAAGGGCAUGAUUGAAGGUAACGCGACUGUCAAAUCUGUGUUCAAUUGAAAUUUGUUUUGCUAUAUCAGGCAAAUCUUUGUAACUUGUUAGUUCAGAACACUGACUGACAGAGGCCUAGAAGGAUGGGUUGAACCUCUCUUGCUCUUGCGCACGGUGUCUCUCUCUCUCUCUCUCUCUCUCUCAUUCUCUCUCAUUCUUCCUCC